GGUAGAAAACGGGUAAUGAGCAAAUGAAGCAACAGGAGGAAUUUAGCAGACGAAUGAAUUAGGACUGAAAAUAAGGAAUGUGCACCAUUUCAGAGCUGAAAUGGUGCGUCCGAGUGGACUCGAACCACCGACCCCCACCA
rnacentral:antisense_RNA from 1 species